UCAAAUGCGAUGAAGAGAAGAGUAGGUAGAUCUUAAUCUUUUACAGAGAGCUCCGUCCGCUGAAAAGGAGCAAAGAGGGAUGUAUCGAAAAAAGACUCAGAGCAGCACGCCGGAACCUUCGGAGGGGAUGGUGUGACAGGAGCUCCUGUUACAGAGCUAGAGUAUACGCAGGGCAGCGUUAGGCCCUUAGCCGUACUCGAAGAGGCUGAUAUGGUGACAUAUCGGCGAAUCUGGGGUGGUACCACGAGGAUCCGAAUCUCGUCCCUGAG
rnacentral:ncRNA from 1 species